UACGAAGGGGGCUAGCGUUGUUCGGAAUUACUGGGCGUAAAGCGCGCGUAGGCGGUUUUACAAGCCAGAGGUGAAAUGCCUGAGCUUAACUUGGGAAUUGCCUUUGGAACUGUAUGACCUCGAGGACGAGAGAGGUGAGUGGAAUUCCCAGUGUAGAGGUGAAAUUCGUAGAUAUUGGGAAGAACACCGGUGGCGAAGGCGGCUCACUGGCUCGUUUCUGACGCUGCAGCGCGAAGGCGUGGGGAUCAAACAGG
rnacentral:rRNA from 1 species